rnacentral:rRNA from 1 species
UGGGGAAUAUUGCACAAUGGGCGCAAGCCUGAUGCAGCCAUGCCGCGUGUGUGAAGAAGGCCUUCGGGUUGUAAAGCACUUUCAGCGAGGAGGAAGGUGGUGAACUUAAUACGUUCAUCAAUUGACGUUACUCGCAGAAGAAGCACCGGCUAACUCCGUGCCAGCAGCCGCGGUAAUACGGAGGGUGUAAGCGUUAAUCGGAAUUACUGGGCGUAAAGCGCACGCAGGCGGUUUGUUAAGUCAGAUGUGAAAUCCCCGGGCUCAACCUGGGAACUGCAUUUGAAACUGGCAAGCUAGAGUCUCGUAGAGGGGGGUAGAAUUCCAGGUGUAGCGGUGAAAUGCGUAGAGAUCUGGAGGAAUACCGGUGGCGAAGGCGGCCCCCUGGACGAAGACUGACGCUCAGGUGCGAAAGCGUGGGGAGCAAACAGGAUUAGAUACCCUGGUAGUCCACGCUGUAAACGAUGUCGAUUUUGGAGGUUGUGCCCUUGAGGCGUGGCUUCCGGAGCUAACGCGUUAAAUCGACCGCCUGGGGAGUACGGCCGCAAGGUU